GGAGGUAUAGCUCAGCGGUAGAGUAUGUGCUUAGCAUGUGUGAGGUCCUGGGUUCAAUCCCCAGUACCUCCA
rfam:Camelus ferus unplaced genomic scaffold scaffold490, whole genome shotgun sequence.